UCAAACGGCGGAAUUCGCCUGCUUCUACAGAGUGAGGCUGCGAAUUGAGUGCACAACAUCGACUGGUACUGGAACUUUUUCCAUCAGAUCCACCUCAUUGAUUCCAUCGCGUGUUUGAAAUGCAGAGAAGGCUCUGAACUCAACUAAAACGCUUAUCACGAUUGGUGAUGGAACUUUCUCUUUAUGGAUAUUUGCAAUGGAGAAUAUAUGUGUAAGUAAAUUAUAUUAAGUAAUAGCUAGCCUGCAGUUACCACCAAAGCCGGUUUUGUUCAUCCGUUAUUCGUCUGCUAUAAUUACAGCAGUAGCUUUGUUAUGGACAAAUGAGUAGGUAGCAUUAUUUUCUGCCUGAAAAAGCACCAAGCGAGAACUUUUUAUGGGGAGCCAACCAGUGCCUAAAUCCUCAAGUGAAAUUACACACAAUCUAAAACCUAAAGCGUAGGCAACUCCGUCUGUGGUUCGCCGUAGGGUAGAUCAGUCUGUCGCCAUGAGUUUAGUUGGAGGUUUUCCCCACCACCCGGCGAUGCAUCAUGACGGCUAUUCCUUCGCUGCUGCAGCAGCCGCCAGUCGCUGUCACGAAGAAAGUCCCUAUUUCCAUGGGUGGCUUAUUAGCCAUUCUGAGAUGUCUCCUCCAGAGUACUCUAUGGCACCUUCAUACAGUCCCGAUUACUCAACCGGAGCCCCCGGGCUCGACCACUCGCACUACGGAGGAGUACCGGGGGCUGGCGCAGUUGGAAUGGGGCCCCGCACGGUGAAACGUAGACCCACGGCAAACCGAAAGGAGAGGCGCAGGACUCAGAGCAUCAACAGCGCAUUCGCAGAACUCAGGGAAUGCAUUCCCAACGUGCCCGCGGAUACGAAGCUAUCCAAAAUCAAAACCCUGCGCUUGGCAACCAGUUAUAUUGCUUACCUAAUGGACAUUCUGGACAAAGACGAUCAGAAUGGGGAAGCAGAGGCCUUCAAAGCGGAAUUCAAAAAGACAGACGCCAAAGAAGACAGGCGAAAGAAAGAAAUGAAUGACGUUUUGAAAAUUUCAGGGAGCAGCAAUGACAAGAAAACCAAAGGGAGAACUGGUUGGCCGCAGCAUGUCUGGGCAUUGGAACUGAAGCAAUGAGACUAAUGCAAAAGACAUGAAAUGAGGCCUUCUGAACUCAUUUUCAGUUGUUCUCUCACUUAUUUAAUGGAAUAUUUAUGUGCAAUUUCCUGCAACGGACAGUGGAUUUUUGAGGAAAAAUCAUUCCAUUUUAGGAGGAUACUCUCUUGGAUUCUGCAGAUGUAUGUCAAACAGGACAUCACAAGAUUCACAAUCUGUCAGAAAGUGCACUUCUCACUAUGAUGUAGAGGCCUACAGCUUGAGUUUUAAGAGAUGUUUUGGUAGCUAAUAAGGAAAUAAGAAUAGUUAUAAAUUGUGUAAAUGAGCUUAGCAAUCCAUGUAAUGGAUUUGCAUCAUUGCAACAACAUUCUGAAUGAACAAAAUAAUUAAUCUUGCAAAGAGGCACUGCUACUGAGCUUGCUGUUCAGACAUCCUGAACUAAUUAUAGCACUCAUCGCAUUUCCCUCCAUUGCUAACCGAUAAGAGUAUCACUUUUGGUUUGUAUCAGCAUGUCUGCUCUUGCCAGAUCUUGAGUACUCAUAGUGCUGCACCACACAUUAACAGGAUGUGCUUCAUGUAGAAAUCUGAAAAGAAGAGCAUGAUACAAAAGCCUAAAAGAAAGAACGGAGAACAUGUUAGGCCUGUAAAUUAAAAAAGAAACUGCUCUUUUUUUUUUAGACAAUUAUCUGGUUGGUAAUACUUUGAAAGUCUGAAGGAUGCACAAUUUAUAUUAUUAUUAGCCAAUUUGGAUAAAUUUUAUGCUGAAUAAUGCAACAGACCAAUGUUUUGCCAGUUUAUUUAGCCAGGUGGUGUGUUGUUAAAUGUCAUCCCCUGACUAUUUUUUUUUUUAAAUAAUUAAUGUUAUAAUGCUCAAAAUUUUCUGUUGUGCCAUUUAUAUCAAGCUCAGUCAUUCCAAUUACAAGGAAUCAUCUAUUUUCCCAUUAAAAAUGUUGUGUUCUCUUUGUUGUUCCAGUUUCUAAACAAGAUUAGGGAAACUCAAGAACAAACAUCAAUACUUCACUCCUGAUUAGAAAGAAAGAAAUAAAGAACUUAAACAGCUUGACGACAUCUGAAAAGUAUUAAAGACAUCACUUCAGUCCAUUACAAUGGACUUCAGGGGAUGAACAGAUGUCAAUUCCAACCAUAAAACAUUGGAUGCUUCAUAUGCCACUGACUGAACCCUGGACUGAAAUUACCUGCUGGUUGAACUGCGAUGCACUUCAUCAUCUUGAUCUAAUGAUGGACUACAAUGGCAUACAUAGAUUUCAAUUAUUUGCCAACAAAAGACUUUAUCGGCCAACUAACAAAGGACAAUGCAUCAAUGUGAACUUCUGCAGUUAAUCCAGGAUGGACUUCAAAGACAUUAUAACUUACUACAAAAUCUUUGUAUAAACACUGGCCCAUAACACUUAAAAAUGAUGACUUUAGGGCUGUUAAAGUUAACUUAAGAUAUUACUCAAAUUUGUUAGAUUUUAACAGUUUUUAAAUAUAUAUAGCUUUUUUUUAACAGUGUUCUCAAUUAAAUAUUGGCUAUCCAUUUCCUUUAUCUUUCUAAACACUGUUUCCAAAUCACAGUCUUAAUGAUUCACUGUCAAUUUAAUACAAAAUAAAUAUUUUCCAGAUAAUAUUCCAAUUUAACACAUUUUGGCUUUAGUACAAUGACAAUACAAAAUCCACGCAAACUAUAUUUCUGACACAUGAAAUGGCUCUUUAUACAUGAAAAUGUAUAUGAAAUUAUAUUUUUGGAAGAGGGUCCCUGCAAGGGGAUAAUCUUAUUUAGAGUUUCUUAGCAUCAAAAAGUAUGAAACCCCCUGCAAGACUGGCCUACUCUUCCAAUUCAGACAUUGAGUCAGCUCCUCCAAUCACGCCUUUUGUGCUCAAACAUACUGUGUUCAGGGCACUUAAAGAACCAUUUGGCCAAUUCUACAGAAUUGUUUGUCACCUCUGAUUGUCUUUGCUCUUAUCCUUCCCUAUUAAAAUCCAAUAGCAAAUUGUGGAGCAUGGGGAUACAGGAGAAUGGGAGGUGUUGAUAUCUUCAAAUAGAGAUUGGUAACAGUGUAAUGCUAAUGUGUGCUACUGUUUUCAUUAAGUCAUCCAUUUUACAUCAAAAUUACAUAUUGUUUGCACCAAUGAUAUAUAUACAGUAUAUGUAAAAAUAUUUAGACAUUUUAACGGUAAAAGACUGUAAAAAUGCUACAGUAAAACAAAAUGUUAAUUGGUUAACGGGUAGUUACCUUAAAAUAUACGGUACAUUUUUAAAAAUAUAUUUUAAAAGACAAUUCAUGUAGUUUUACGGUAAAUUUUUGCACAAAUAUUUUAUGUAAAAAGUAGGAUUUUCGUAAUA